rnacentral:ncRNA from 1 species
ACAGUACAAACUGAGCAGGCUGUGUGUUCUGCCGGCAUUCGUUGCGGCCGGGGAGGAUCCAUGGAUAGCCGGGCCGUCGUAAUGGCAGCAGAUGGAAUAAGCAUCUGUGGGACAGU